rnacentral:rRNA from 1 species
UACAGAGGUCUCAAGCGUUGUUCGGAUUCAUUGGGCGUAAAGGGUGCGUAGGUGGCGGGGUAAGUCAGGUGUGAAAUCUCGGAGCUCAACUCCGAAACUGCACUUGAUACUGCCUUGCUUGAGUACUGGAGAGGAGAUUGGAAUUUACGGUGUAGCAGUGAAAUGCGUAGAUAUCGUAAGGAAGACCAGUGGCGAAGGCGGGUCUCUGGGCCAUUACUGACGCUGAGGAGCGAAAGCGUGGGGAGCGAACAGG